UACAGAGGGGGCAAGCGUUGUUCGGAAUUACUGGGCGUAAAGGGCGCGUAGGCGGCCUGUUAAGUCGAACGUGAAAUCCCAGGCUCAACCCGGGAACUGCGUCCGAUACUGGCAGGCUUGAAUCCGGGAGAGGGAUGCGGAAUUCCAGGUGUAGCGGCGAAAUGCGUAGAUAUCUGGAGGAACACCGGUGGCGAAGGCGGCAUCCUGGACCGGCAUUGACGCUGAGGCGCGAAAGCCAGGGGAGCAAACGGG
rnacentral:rRNA from 1 species